AACGAACGCUGGCGGCAGGCCUAACACAUGCAAGUCGAGCGCACCGACAGGGGACUGGCUGAUCGGUCAUUAACGCGGGGCGACUUAGUAACAGGUGCAUAACCACCCUGUAAAACUGGAAUAACUACGGGAAACGGCAGCAAGUGCCAAGAAUUAUCUUGAAACGAUCGGUUCACUUGUGAAAAGCGAUUUGGCUGUCUAUUGUCGCUGGAACCCGGCCGCAUGCGCUAGUUGUUAAGGUAACGGCUUACAAAGUCAACGUUGCGUAGCCGACCUGAGAGGGUGAUCGGCCACACUGGAACUGAGACACGGUCCAGACUCCGACGGGAGGCAGCAGUAGGGAAUCUUACGCAAGGGGCGAAAGCCGGACGGAGCAAAGCCGCGGGAGUGAUGAAGGUCUUCGGAUCGUAAAACUCUGUUAUAAGGGAAGAACAAAUGUGUAAGUAACUAUGAACGUCUUGACGGUACCGAAUCAGAAAGCCACGGCUAACUACGUG
rnacentral:rRNA from 1 species